rnacentral:misc_RNA from 1 species
AAUCUAAACCUCCUUCAUUUGAGAAACAGGAAGCAGAUAAGACAGCAAUGGUGGCUGCAUUGUCUUCCAUCCGUCCACAUGAAAAGAGAACACUGAACUUCUUAAUCAAUGAGUACUUGGUAACAAACUCCUACAAACUUACUGCAAUCACAUUUGCAGAUGAAAAUGAUGAUCAGGACUUUGAGCAUUGGGAUGAUGUAGGUUUGAACAUAAGCCGACCUCCAAACCUAGUACAGAUUUUAAGAGAAGGUGAUCAUUCUACUGCAAAUCUCACAUCAUGUGCAUGUCAGACAGAUAGCACAGCUGAUAAUUCCCAAGACAUCAGACAUUAUCAGACCGAAGUUGAAAGGUUAAAGAAAGAACUAGAAGUUGCAAAGGAUGUCCUAGCCUCACAGUCAAGUGAACUGAAAAAGCUGCUCAGAAAAACAUCCACUCCAAGUGUAACACCCUUGGGUUCUCCCAGAAAAGAGAGUGCUCAAUCUCAGAACGAAGGCUUUGUAUGUGAUUCAGGUAAAGUUAACCCAUUUGUUGUUGAUAAAGGUGGAAGGGAAUCCCCUGAAGGAACAUCAGACAAUGAAGAAACAUCUGGGGGUGGAGGUUUUGUCAUGAUUUCAUCACCAGUUGUUCCGCAAGCCACGCAAACUCCUGGAUGCUCAAGUGCUGUUAUGGAUGAGAAUAUUGAUCAGAUCUUUCAUCAGGACCCAGUGAGAAGUGGAUAUGAAGAUCCUUCUGAAUCUAUUGAGAUAUUAAUACAGUCUGGUAGUGAAGAUACACUUGACAAAAUAAGUGAGAGACUUUCAGAGGCAAUGGAUAACAAAAUUCAUGCUACUGGUGAAGAAUCUUCAGUAACACAAGGAAUUAGCUCACAAGAUAUUCCAACUUCUCCAGAUGAUAUUCCAGAUGUGGUUAGUGUUACUGAGUGUCAGAUAAACCAGGAAUCGCAUCCCAAUUUCCAGGACAAUGUUGAAGACAGUCAUGAUACUUCAAGGAAUACAACAACAGAGGCAUAUUUAGAACAACUAAAAUGUGAGGCCAAGAAUCGUCUUAGAGCUUCAUCCACAAGAAUUCCUCCAUUUGUGUUUGAGGAACAACUGAUCCAGACAUGCCUUGGACAUACUAACUACUCUAGAGAAUCUAGGGUACAGGCAGAGGUGGCAAGGCUUGGUCAGGGCAGCCAGGAACUGCUGGAAAUAGUUGCAUCAUCACUCCACAACAUUGCUCCUAAUGUUAUUCUAGCUAAGCGGGAGGAGCUGUUACCUUUGCUAAUAUGCGGAGUUAGCCUUCUUGAUAAUAGCAGAGAAAGAGAGAAAUUACUCCACUUGUUAUUUAAUCUAAUUAAGAGACCUAAUGAGGAACAAAGAAAUAUAAUUUUGACUGGUCUUGUAGGCCUAGCUAGGGUACUUGGGCCGACUAAACUUGAAGCUGAACUGCUCCCACAGUGUUGGGAGCAGCUCACACAUAAGUAUAUAGAAAGACGAUUGUUAGUUGCCCAGUCAACAGCAGCCUUGGCUCCAUAUACUCCUCCUUCCCUGAGAAACUCUCUUUUACUGUCUAUGCUGCUACAAUUACUUGCACCAGGUGGAGAGAAAGAUUUCAGAGUGAGAGAAGCAGCUCUCAUUAGUUUAUCUCUUGUUGUUACUUAUCUUGAUGAUUGCAGUAAAUUGUCUGUUCUGGUAGACACACUGUUGCACUGCUUAGAGAAUCCAGGAUCAACCACAGAUGCCUCCCCACACAUGAGCCUCAAUUCCUCGCAGUUUACAGGAAGGCUCUUGCAGAUGUCCUUAUCAGCUACUGAUAUUUAUCUUUCCUCACUUGCUAUAUGGGCCCUUGAAGAGAAUUCUAUAAACCUUCUCUUAGAUCCAUUAGUUGUGAAACUUCAGCAGCUUGCUUGUCAUUAUAAACAAAAUCAAGAACCAGAGAAAAACAGGCCAGUAAGUCAACAGCCAAUGGUGAUUAUCAUUGAAGCCAUUAGAAAGAUAAUUCCAUUCAUAAUGGCAACUUUAAUCAACUCUUUGCCAGCAUCUGAUGAUGUUGGACAUAACUUUGCACCUGUGGCAUCAAGUUGUAUUGCCUUAGAGGAAUUGUCGGUGCUAUAUGGUAGUGAAGAAAAAGCUUCAUUGGGAUUAAACCAGUAUCAGCAUUAUGUUGCAAAAGAAUGGUAUAAGUCAUGGGAGGAAUUAGAAUAUGUAACUAAAAUGCUCAUACCUACUUUAGUUGAAGUGUUAAACACUGUGGAUGCCACAGCAGAGUUGACAAUUCAUGCAUUUAUAAAAUUAUUUACUGAGUUACUUCAGUGUUUAGGCCCACAAAUUACUAUAUCAUGUGUUAUGCCUAUUUUCAUGAAACAUUUAAGUAUUGAUGACUCUGAACUUGAGGUUGUAAGUCAGGGCAACACAGGCCUUACUGGAUCUUUAGUUGUUGUUUACACAGUAGCAGUUCUUGCUCCAAACCAAGGUUCCUCAGAAAAACAGGGUGAACUAGAGGGUUUUUUGGCAAGGCAUAUCAGUAUCUUAGCACUAUGUCGUGCACAGCUAGAUUCAUUAUACAUUACUAUUGCAACCUUACUGCAGCACAAAAGAAAUCAUGAUGCUGUGCUGGGAGCUCUGUGGUCAUGUGUUGUUCAUAAGUCUAGUAUGGUCCGAGCAUGUAGUGCAGGCUUGUGGGGAAUAGUUGUUGGAUGUGUUGAAGAUAGUGCUCUUGGAUCUCGUGUGGUACCAGCGCUUGUUACCUUAGCUACAGAUACUGAUGUUAAUGUCAGAGCAUCUGCUGUACAUCCUUUGGCAACUAUCAUAACAACUACUGCAAAUGUUGAGGUACUUGAUAAAGUAUGGCUACAGCUUGAGACAUUAUGUGAUGAUCCAUCCACUUUUGAAAGCAUCAAUUUCCAGCUGGCUUUGGCUAGAACAUGCUCCACUUUGGCACACACAUCACAUCCACGUUUAGUACACCAAUUCCUUCUUCCUCGUCUUUGCCGUAUAACAAUGGCUGGAAAACGAAAUGAAGAAGAUGGCAUUAUUUUUGGUCUGGAGGUUCUAGAUGUAUAUUCUGUGCUAACUUGUAGCCAGUUACCUGACCAUGUUAUUGCUCAUUUUGUGCUCCCUCCACUUCAUCAGCUCCAGAAAACAUUGGGCUGUUUAACAUUUGAACACAUGGAAACUAUCACUGACUUGAUAAGAGAGUAUAAUUUAAGAGGUCAGUCUUCACAGGGACUAGAAAGCAUGUCAUAACUGCCCCACCCGGAACUCCAGCAAGAUCAUGCACAAUGUCUCAGGACGUCCAGGGAUAUUUUCCGACCAUGUGAUAGGACAUCAACUGGCACAAAUAGAAGGAAAUCCAAUUUCUCUCUUGGUGGGACCCUACCUGUCCAGACAGGUGUGGAUGAUAUGAAAAAUAAGAUGAGUAAAAUGUUUGCAUCUCGACCUUCAACCACUGUGCUGCAAGCAAAAG